AUGACCUUUACUUGUGUGUCUCCAUGAACCAGGAGCACAUCACUAUCACUAGCUGCGCUAUCUUAACCGGCCAUACACACAAGUCUUUCUCCAUUGCUUUAACAAUGGCAAAGUCUUCCUCUUCUACUUGGAUGGAUGGUGAGCAAGGAACACUUCUUGUGAACCUGAAACACCACUCAAACUCCAGCAAAGAUAACACACAAAGGUAUUGGAAUCAAUCCUUGAAAUAUCAUCAAGGUUGAUCACCAAUAUCACAAGCAUUGCAACAGAUUACACAAGACAUAUUCAAGUUCUAAUCUUUGCAAGCAAUUUCUCUAAGUAUAUGCAAGAUCUAAACAGAUUCAAUACAAGUUACUUAGACAAUUUUAACUUCUGCCUUAACUACAUCUUAGACUUGAAUCCAAGUGCAUCAACCUAAGGCAGCAACAACACUCUAAGCUUUAUUAUACUACUCGGUUUCAAUCAAUGAAAGUAACCAGGAUCAGACACAUCUAGUAUCCUAUACAAUCAUUGUAGAACCGAGGCAAGCUUUACAACUCUCAAUCACCAUUCACAACUCUCAAGUAUCUUGGGACAGAUUCUAAACAUUUCAUAUCUAGCAAUCUUUAAACAUCCACAAGUUUUCAAUCACAUCACAACAUCACAACCUGUUCAUACACUCAAGCUUUAUACAAGAGAAAGAGAUUUCCUUACAGCCAAGGAACUAGUGUUAGUUCCUUGAAACUCCUUAGUACAUGGGAAGAUCCGAGCUGUUGGUGUCAACUCCUACAUCUCCUUCUUUCAUGGACCUUUCUCUUGAACCCACCAUGCCUAAGACACCUCCUCUCUUCAUUUUUUGAGUCGCCAUACCAGGUACAAGUUGAAAGCUUUCACCUUUCUUCUUGGACAGUGAAUGGGAAUGGCUUGGACAUGCUUCCAAUGGCCUUCUUUCUUCAGGACGACCAUGAGAGAGUAGAGAACGACCAAGAACAGCUUCUGGACGCCAUUGAUGAGCACACCUUCUUCUUGAAGAGGUUGAACAGCCAAAUGAACAUGAAGCUUCUUCUUGGUUUGGAAAUGGCAUGGGAGUGAGCUUUGAGCUUAGCGGAAGCUGGAACCAAGUUCUAAUGAACCUGGCUCUGAUACCAUAUGAGAUUUAAGAGUACUCAGGUUGUAUGGUUGAACCUAUGAGAUUUAAGAGUACUCAGGUUGUAUGUGUGUAUGAAACCCAAAUGGGUAAAGAGAGAGAGAGCUUGGAAGCGAUUUGAGAGAAAAGAAGUUUAAUGAGUGUUUGUGUGUCUAAGUGUUUAAGAGAUUAGUGACCAGACUAAGAACGUGUAUAGAGAUUCAGGAUGAGAGACUAGAGAGACUAAGAGAAAGUGUUUCAGAUUAGAGAAGGAGAAGGGAAACCCCCUUACUCACUUAAGAGUUACAAAACAUCACUUAUGAGCUUAUAUAUGCUCUUUACAACUUGCAAUCAUAAACCUAAAUCUAAGGGCUGUUAUAACUUGAAUUUAAAUGGAUGGAUGAGAUGGAAAGAUGGUCUUGGUCGUGGCUGGCUCUUCCUAAUGGAUAAUUGGUCCAUUUGAAUCUGGUCAAGGGAAGGCUGGCUCCUUAUUGGCUAGCUAAAGGCUCCCAUGAAUCUGACCACUUCUUUUGCUAGAUACAUGGUCUCCUUUUGCUUUUACUUUACAGCAAGGGACUCUCCUUUCCAGCCUGUCACUCGCCAGCCUCUCCUUUGUCUUCUUCUCUUAAGAGUUUUGUCUUCUUCUCUUAAGAGUUUUGUCCUUUUCUCUUAAGAGUUUUGUGUUCUCUUACUGUGGUAACUCUCCAAAGUUACUGUGGUAACUUUGGAGUUACUGUCUCAACCAAAUAUUCUCCAAAUGGUGUCUAAGUACCUCCUGGACUUAAACCCAAUCUUGCACAGCCAUAAGAUCACUUCUUGACUUCUUAAGACCCUCCUGAAGCUUGACAGGCAAUCUCUGUAAGACUUGCCCUCUCUUUGCACUAGAACCAAACUACUCCAUACUUCUCCUUUCACUCCAUUUCUAUUCUUCAAGUUAACAUUCUAGAGCUUGCCCUAUCAUUGUAAAGCUCCAUCUUCUCUUCCGUUCAACAUUCAGUUCAACACUCCCCCUCAAGCUUGACUCUAGGAGAUCCUGAGCCAAGCUUGGAACCCUGAAGAGUCUCCCUCAUUAAAAACCUUGCAAAGAAAACCCUGUGGGACAAAACUUUGCAAGGGAAAAAGAGUAGAGCUCUUAAGGGCCUAGGGAUUGGCCAGUGAGCUCUUGUGCCUUAGAACCAGUGUGGUUGGACACCAGAAGCUCUGGAUCACGGCCUAAUAGGUGCAGCAACUCAACACAGCUUCGCGCACACUUCACACUUCAGCUUCACCUCUUCAUGGAACCGGUUUGAAGUCUCCCCCUCUCAACUGACUUCACAGCCAUUUUAGAGAAGCUAGGACACGACCAGAUCAUCUUCAAAACACCAGUAAGGCUGAUCAACACUUCACACACGGCUUGCCCUCUUCAUUGAACUGGUUUGGGUCUCCCCUUCUCAACAGACUUCUCAGCCACCUUAGAGAAGCUAGGAACUGACCAGGAACAUCUUUAGUGAGGCUCAAGCAAUGGUACCUGAUACAUUAUCCCAAAGGUGCAUCAGUACCUAUCAAAACCAAGAAAAUGAAUAUCCUGCAUCACACUUGAUGCACACAAUCUCACAAUUCAAUCAUAAUCAUCUUAAGUAUCUUUUCAAGUACAAGCAAUGAAUAAGAUGAAUGAAAAGGAUUGAAAAGAGUUUUAAAAGUCUAAGGGAACUUCCCUUGUGUUUUUGUGAGUUUCCUAACUCUCUCAAUGCACCAUCUUCAUGUCAUCAUCAACUUCUUGGAAAGGCAGAAUGGAUUGAUCAGCUUCUCCUCAAUCACCUCUCAUUGAAGCCGCAUUGAUGGAGAGCCUUCUUCCUCACUUGCCAAGGCUGCUCUGAACAGCCUCUUGCCUAGACACGCCACUGACUUGGCCCGGUUGAUGAUCCUUGUAGAAGCUUUUGCAAAAGACUUGUUACUGACCAUGGAUCAUAUGCAUUAAGACUCCCCCUCAAGCUUAGAACCAAGACUAGAAGGAGCUAAGCUUGUGAUGAUUCUAUGCGUCUCCAUGGUCUAAUAACUAUCAUCUUUCAUGAUAGCUUUCUUCUUGUGAGUUUACUCUCUUCCUUAACCAGGAACUAGGGUGUUUGAAUCACCAUAGAGAGUCUCACAAGACACACCUCUCAUUGCAUAAUGACCCAUGCUACACUUCCUGUAGACUAAGGACUAGAUAUGUCCAAUGGUAUUAUGCAAUGGCCAUCUCUCAUUGCAUACUCAAUCACACUACACUUCCUGUAGGUUAUGGACUAACAUGUCCUCGUGAUGAUAUGCAAUGGCACAAGACCCUUGUCUUUACAUUCUUGGUUGUUGGCGAGUUACAUGUAUCACAUUUCCUUGUGUACCUAACACCACCACAACUCAAUGCAAGAUCAGAUCAUCCCAUUGGGAUCAAACCAAGAUUAUCCAUCCUGUUUGAUCACCAAUGCCACAAUAAUAUGAUACUUGAAACAAGCUAGACAAUCAAGACAAUCAAGCAAAGACAAUCAAUUCAGUUUUUUUUUUAAAUGCAACAAUAGAUGAAUGCAUUAGGUUACAUACUAACUAUAUGAAUGAAAUAGAUUCAACCCAAAUGAAACACAAGCCUAGAUGAUACUUAUGCAAUCAAGGCGACAAGAGUGACUCAAUUCAUGCUUAUGCUCACUAGUUUUAUCAAAGUCAAUGAUUCAAAUAGCUUAGACAUACUUCUAAAUGCUUAUAAGACAUCACUGAUUGAUUUAACUAUGGCAUAGCAACAAUCAGAACUGGACUGAGUCAAAACAAGCAGAUUUCAAUCUCUAACAAUGACAAUGCAAGUUCUAUUUUUAAGUUCUCUAAAUGCAAUGCAAGCUUACAUCAGUACAUUUGCAGUUUAGGCUCAUUUCUAAAUGCAAUAAUACAUGAAUGCACAAUCUUAAAAGCUUUAGCUAUAUGAAUGCAACAGGUUCAAUCCAUGAGCCAUAUCAAGGCUAUGCACAACAGUUUCAAUCAAAACCAAUGAUGCAAGCAACUUAGACAAUUUCUAAUUGAUGCAAGACUUUCAUCAAUGGAUUAAACAUAGGCACUAGUAUCAGAUAACAACAGGAUUGAACUUAGACAGUAUGAGACGUGCUUAUGUAUGCAAAAUAGCUUAUCAAUCAUGAUGCAAGCAGCAGAGACAUUCUACUCAAUUCUACAACACAUUCAUGAUGAUUUCAAGCUAUGGCAAUACACAAGACAAUGCAAUGAACAGAACAUGAGAUUUUGGGACUCUAGACAUUAUUACUUAAUAUCAAUAAGACAAUGCAGCAGCAAAAUAUUUUCAAAACAAUUAGCCUAGACAUUCUACUAGAAGUUAUAAACUCUUAAUGUGAAUUAGGGAAAACACAGAGUAUAAUCAAGAGAUAGACCUAUCAAGACAUAUAAAAAUAGAUGAGACUAGGUUUACUCCCUUGUUUAAGAUGGUGAGGAGUGGUCUCUUCAUUUCGCCACUUGAGUCCUCACUUGCUAAGCUUAACAGCUUCUCCUUUCAUCACACAAGCUCACUAACAACCUUGUGGGAACACCUCCAUCUUCUUCAGACUUGAUGCUUACUUCCCCACUUAACCACCAUUGCACUGAGGAGAUACCUCAGUUUACUCUCCAAGUACUUCUUAUUAGAAGCUCAUUGAGUCGCUUUCUUCUUCCCUCUACUUCGGCUGCAUCUACACAUGAUCAGCUUGCAAUGGCCUUGAGGAACCAGGUCAUUGAGCUUAGAGGAUCUUCUGGUAGCUCACUUGAAUCCUCACCUCAAACUUGACUUAGUGUAGGUGCAAGCUUGAAGUGAGCCUCAAUGAGACUUCAAACCGGGAGCGCAUCACUACCUACAGCUGCGCUUAACCCAACCGAUCUGCCAUUGCCUUCAGCUCCAAUGCCUUCAGAUCAUCAGUCUCCCCAAGACUUAGGUGAUGACCUUUACUUGUGUGUCUCCAUGAACCAGGAGCACAUCACUAUGACUAGCUGCGCUAUCUUAACCGGCCAUACACACAAGUGUUUCUCCAUUGCUUUAACAAUGGCAAAGUCUUCCUCUUCUACUUGGAUGGAUGGUGAGCAAAGAACACUUCUUGUGAACCUGAAACACCACUCAAACUCCAGCAAAGAUAAGACACAAAGGUAUUGGAAUCAAUCCUUGAAAUAUCAUCAAGGUUGAUCACCAAUAUCACAAGCAUUGCAACAGAUUACACAAGACAUAGUCAAGUUCUAAUCUUUGCAAGCAAUUUCUCUAAGUAUAUGCAAGAUCUAAACAGAUUCAAUACAAGUUACUUAGGCAAUUUUAACUUCUGCCUUAACUACAUCUUAGACUUGAAUCCAAGUGCAUCAACCUAAGGCAGCAACAACACUCUAAGCUUUAUUAUACUACUCGGUUUCAAUCAAUGAAAGUAACCAGGAUCAGACACAUCUAGUAUCCUAUACAAUCAUUGUAGAACCGAGGCAAGCUUUACAACUCUCAAUCACCAUUCACAACUCUCAAGUAUCUUGGGACAGAUUCUAAACAUUUCAUAACUAGCAAUCUUUAAACAUCCACAAGUUUUCAAUCACAUCACAACAUCACAACCUGUUCAUACACUCAAGCUUU
rnacentral:lncRNA from 1 species